rnacentral:rRNA from 1 species
UACGUAGGGGGCAAGCGUUGUCCGGAAUUAUUGGGCGUAAAGAGCGCGUAGGCGGUCCGAUAAGUCGGCUGUGAAAGUCAGGGGCUCAACCCUUGAAAGCCGGCCGAUACUGUCGGACUAGAGUUCGGAAGAGGCAAGUGGAAUUCCCGGUGUAGCGGUGAAAUGCGCAGAUAUCGGGAAGAACACCCGUGGCGAAGGCGGCUCUCUGGGACGGUACUGACGCUGAGACGCGAAAGCGUGGGGAGCGAACAGG